rnacentral:misc_RNA from 1 species
GUUUUUAAUUUUUAAUUACUAGAUUUCAGGCUAUAUAUGUAAUACAUAAAGGGUUUAUCAUGUCGCUGACCAAUGCCCUAAGGCCCUAAUCAGCGCAGAUACACAAUGCACAAGGGUUAUUGCAUAUGUAAUCCAGAGUUUUUACGCUACUGGAUAUGCUUUAUUAAUGAUCCUUCCGCAGGUUCACCUACGGAAA